UACGGAGGAUGCGAGCGUUAUCCGGAUUUAUUGGGUUUAAAGGGUGCGUAGGCGGAUCGUUAAGUCAGUGGUCAAAUUGAGGGGCUCAACCCCUUCCCGCCAUUGAAACUGGCGAUCUUGAGUGGAAAAGAAGUAUGCGGAAUGCGUGGUGUAGCGGUGAAAUGCAUAGAUAUCACGCAGAACCCCGAUUGCGAAGGCAGCAUGCCGGCUUCCUACUGACGCUGAAGCACGAAAGCGUGGGGAUCGAACAGG
rnacentral:rRNA from 1 species